rnacentral:rRNA from 1 species
AAUGAACGCUGGCGGCAGGCCUAACACAUGCAAGUCGAACGAGUGGCGGACGGGUGAGUAAUGUCUGUGAAACUGCCUGAUGGAGGGGGAUAACUACUGGAAACGGUAGCUAAAACCGCAUAACCUCGGAUGUGCCCAGAUGGGAUUAGCUAGUGGGGGGGGUAAAGGCUCACCUAGGCGACGAUCCCUAGCUGGUCUGAGAGGAUGACCGGCCAAACUGGAACUGAUACACGGGCCAGACUCCUACGGGAGGCAGCAGUGGGGAAUAUUGCACAAUGGGCGCAAGCCUGAUGCAGCCAUGCCGCGUGUGUGAAGAAGGCCUUCGGGUUGUAAAGUACUUUCAGCGGGGAGGCGUUACCCGCAGAAGAAGCACCGGCUAACUCCGUGCCAGCAGCCGCGGUAAUUC